UGGGGAAUAUUGGACAAUGGGGGCAACCCUGAUCCAGCAAUGCCGCGUGUGUGAAGAAGGUCUUCGGAUUGUAAAGCACUUUCGACGGGGACGAUGAUGACGGUACCCGUAGAAGAAGCCCCGGCUAACUUCGUGCCAGCAGCCGCGGUAAUACGAAGGGGGCUAGCGUUGCUCGGAAUGACUGGGCGUAAAGGGCGUGUAGGCGGUUUACACAGUCAGAUGUGAAAUCCCCGGGCUUAACCUGGGAGCUGCAUUUGAUACGUGUAGACUAGAGUGUGAGAGAGGGUUGUGGAAUUCCCAGUGUAGAGGUGAAAUUCGUAGAUAUUGGGAAGAACACCGGUGGCGAAGGCGGCAACCUGGCUCAUGACUGACGCUGAGGCGCGAAAGCGUGGGGAGCAAACAGGAU
rnacentral:rRNA from 1 species